rnacentral:rRNA from 3 species
AGACCCGAAACCCGGUGAUCUAGCCAUGGGCAGGUUGAAGGUUGGGUAACACUAACUGGAGGACCGAACCGACUAAUGUUGAAAAAUUAGCGGAUGACCUGUGGCUGGGGGUGAAAGGCCAAUCAAACCGGGAGAUAGCUGGUUCUCCCCGAAAGCUAUUUAGGUAGCGCCUCGUGAAUUCAUCUCCGGGGGUAGAGCACUGUUUCGGCUAGGGGGCCAUCCCGGCUUACCAACCCGAUGCAAACUGCGAAUACCGGAGAAUGUUAUCACGGGAGACACACGGCGGGUGCUAACGUCCGUCGUGAAGAGGGAAACAACCCAGACCGCCAGCUAAGGUCCCAAAGUCAUGGUUAAGUGGGAAACGAUGUGGGAAGGCCCAGACAGCCAGGAUGUUGGCUUAGAAGCAGCCAUCAUUUAAAGAAAGCGUAAUAG